rnacentral:rRNA from 1 species
GACGAACGCUGGCGGCGUGCUUAACACAUGCAAGUCGAACGGAAAGGCCCUGCUUUUGUGGGGUGCUCGAGUGGCGAACGGGUGAGUAACACGUGAGUAACCUGCCCUUGACUUUGGGAUAACUUCAGGAAACUGGGGCUAAUACCGGAUAGGAACUCCUGCUGCAUGGUGGGGGUUGGAAAGUUUCGGCGGUUGGGGAUGGACUCGCGGCUUAUCAGCUUGUUGGUGGGGUAGUGGCUUACCAAGGCUUUGACGGGUAGCCGGCCUGAGAGGGUGACCGGCCACAUUGGGACUGAGAUACGGCCCAGACUCCUACGGGAGGCAGCAGUGGGGAAUAUUGCACAAUGGGCGGAAGCCUGAUGCAGCAACGCCGCGUGCGGGAUGACGGCCUUCGGGUUGUAAACCGCUUUCGCCUGUGACGAAGCGUGAGUGACGGUAAUGGGUAAAGAAGCACCGGCUAACUACGU